UGCAAGUCGAACGGACAGAGAAGAGCUUGCUCUUCGAAGUUAGUGGCGGACGGGUGAGUAACGCGUGGGUAACCUGCCCUAUGCAGGGGGAUAACGUUUGGAAACGAACGCUAAUACCGCAUAAUCUGGUUGGUUCGCAUGAACUGAUUAGCAAAGAUUUAUCGGCAUAGGAUGGACCCGCGUUGGAUUAGCUAGUUGGUGAGAUAAAAGCUCACCAAGGCGACGAUCCAUAGCCGGCCUGAGAGGGUGAACGGCCACACUGGGACUGAGACACGGCCCAGACUCCUACGGGAGGCAGCAGUGGGGAAUAUUGCACAAUGGGCGCAAGCCUGAUGCAGCGACGCCGCGUGAAGGAUGAAGGUUUUCGGAUCGUAAACUUCUAUCAGCAGGGAAGAAACCAAUGACGGUACCUGACUAAGAAGCCCCGGCUAACUACGUGCCAGCAGCCGCGGUAAUACGUAGGGGGCAAGCGUUAUCCGGAUUCACUGGGUGUAAAGGGUGCGUAGGUGGCAUGGUAAGUCAGAUGUGAAAUUUAGGAGCUCAACUUCUAAGCUGCAUCUGAAACUGCUAAGCUAGAGUGCAGGAGAGGAAAGCGGAAUUCCGAGUGUAGCGGUGAAAUGCGUAGAGAUUCGGAGGAACACCAGUAG
rnacentral:rRNA from 1 species